rnacentral:rRNA from 1 species
GAUGAACGCUGGCGGCGUGCCUAAUACAUGCAAGUCGAGCGAACGGACGAGAAGCUUGCUUCUCUGAUGUUAGCGGCGGACGGGUGAGUAACACGUGGAUAACCUACCUAUAAGACUGGGAUAACUUCGGGAAACCGGAGCUAAUACCGGAUAAUAUUUUGAACCGCAUGGCUCAAAAGUGAAAGACGGUCUUGCUGUCACUUAUAGAUGGUUCCGCGCUGCAUUAGCUAGUUGGUAAGGUAACGGCUUACCAAGGCAACGAUGCAUAGCCGACCUGAGAGGGUGAUCGGCCACACUGGAACUGAGACACGGUCCAGACUCCUACGGGAGGCAGCAGUAGGGAAUCUUCCGCAAUGGGCGAAAGCCUGACGGAGCAACGCCGCGUGAGUGAUGAAGGUCUUCGGAUCGUAAAACUCUGUUAUUAGGGAAGAACAUAUGUGUAAGUAACUGUGCACAUCUUGACGGUACCUAAUCAGAAAGCCACGGCUAACUACGUG